AGUGAACGCUGGCGGCGUGCCUAACACAUGCAAGUCGAACGAUGAUGGAGAGCUUGCUCUCCUGAUUAGUGGCGCACGGGUGAGUAUACCAUAGAUAAUGUACCUCUUAGUUCGGGAUAGCCACUGGCAACGGUGAUUAAUACCGGAUACUCCUUCUUGUCUUAAGGCAAGUCGGGAAAGUUUUUUCGCUAAGAGAUCAGUCUAUGUCCUACCGGCUAGUUGGUGAGGUAAUGGCUCACCAAGGCAAUGACGGGUAUCUGGUUUGAGAGGAUGAUCAGACACACCGGAACUGGGACACGGUCCAGGCUCCUACGGGAGGCAGCAGUGAGGAAUAUUGCACAAUGGAGGAAACUCUGAUGCAGCAACGCCGCGUGGAGGAUGACGCAUUUCGGUGUGUAAACUCCUUUUAAGGGGGAAGAUAAUGACGGUACCUCUUGAAUAAGCACCGGCUAACUACGUGCCAGCAGCCGCCGUAA
rnacentral:rRNA from 1 species